rnacentral:lncRNA from 1 species
AUGUAUAAUUCAGGAUAUACAUGGUUUAUAUAGCUAUGAAGUUACACUAAAGGUCAAAUAUUUUGAAAGCUGCGAAUAUUGCAAUAUUUUGUUGGGAUAAAAUAGCGAUUUUGAAUUGGUGGUCUGACACCUUAUAGAGAAUAGAAAAAUUACUUAUGUUACUGCCUUAUGAAUUAUGAUGUUGUACAGUAUGAUUGCUUAUAGAUCAA